rnacentral:rRNA from 1 species
UGGCGAACGGGUGAGUAACACGUGGGCAAUCUGCCCUGCACUCUGGGACAAGCCCUGGAAACGGGGUCUAAUACCGGAUAAUACUUCCUGGGGCAUCCUGGGGGGUUGAAAGCUCCGGCGGUGCAGGAUGAGCCCGCGGCCUAUCAGCUUGUUGGUGGGGUGAUGGCCUACCAAGGCGACGACGGGUAGCCGGCCUGAGAGGGCGACCGGCCACACUGGGACUGAGACACGGCCCAGACUCCUACGGGAGGCAGCAGUGGGGAAUAUUGCACAAUGGGCGGAAGCCUGAUGCAGCGACGCCGCGUGGGGGAUGACGGCCUUCGGGUUGUAAACCUCUUUCAGCAGGGAAGAAGCGUGAGUGACGGUACCUGCAGAAGAAGCGCCGGCUAACUACGUGCCAGCAGCCGCGGUAAUACGUAGGGCGCAAGCGUUGUCCGGAAUUAUUGGGCGUAAAGAGCUCGUAGGCGGCUUGUUACGUCGGUUGUGAAAGCCCGGGGCUCAACCCCGGGUCUGCAGUCGAUACGGGCAGGCUGGAGUGUGGUAGGGGAGAUCGGAAUUCCUGGUGUAGCGGUGAAAUGCGCAGAUAUCAGGAGGAACACCGGUGGCGAAGGCGGAUCUCU